GACGAACGCUGGCGGCGUGCUUAAUACAUGCAAGUCGAACGGAAAGGCCCUGCUCUUGUGGGGUGCUCGAGUGGCGAACGGGUGAGUAACACGUGAGUAACCUGCCCUUGACUUUGGGAUAACAUCAGGAGACUGGGGCUAAUACCGGGUAGGAGCUCCUGCUGCAUGGUGGGGGAUGGUAAGUUUCGGCGGUUGGGGAUGGACUGGAGGCUUAUCAGCUUGUUGGUGGGGUAGUGGCUUACCAAGGCUUUGACGGGUAGCCGGCAUGAGAGGGGGAACGGCCACAUUGGGACUGAGAUACGGCGCAGACUCCUACGGGAGGCAGCAGUGGGGAAUAUGGCACAACGGGCGGAAGCCUGAUGCAGCAACGCCGCGUGCGGGAUGACGGCCUUCGGGUGGUAAACCGCUUUCGCCUGUGACGAAGCGUGAGUGACGGUAAUGGGUAAAGAAGCACCGGCUAACUACGUG
rnacentral:rRNA from 1 species